rnacentral:rRNA from 1 species
AUACAGAGGGUGCGAGCGUUAAUCGGGAUUACUGGGCGUAAAGCGCGCGUAGGCGGCUACUUAAGUCAGAUGUGAAAUCCCCGGGCUCAACCUGGGAACUGCAUCUGAUACUGGGUAGCUAGAGUUUUGGAGAGGGAAGUAGAAUUUCAGGUGUAGCGGUGAAAUGCAUAGAGAUCUGAAGGAAUACCAGUGGCGAAGGCGACUUCCUGGCCAAAAACUGACGCUGAGGUGCGAAAGCGUGGGUAGCAAACGGGAUUAGAAACCCUAGUAGUCC